GGCCGCAGUAUUUUGACUGUGCAAAGGUAGCAUAAUCAUUAGUCUUUUAAUUGAAGGCUGGAAUGAAAGGUUAAAUGAGGUAAAUACUGUUUUAUGAAAAUGAAUUGAAUUUAUAUUUUAAGUAAAAAUACUUAAAUUAUGUUAUGGGACGAGAAGACCCUAUAGAGUUUAAUAUAAUAAAUUUUAACUAUGUUAAUUCAUAUAAUUUGAAGUUAAUUAUUAAUUGUAUUUAAUUGGGGUGAUUGAAAAAUACAAAUAAUUUUUUCUUGAUUUUAAUAUUAUAAGUAGUAGAAUGAUCCAUAAUUAAUGAUUAAAAGAUUAAAUUACCUUAGGGAUAACAGCAUAA
rnacentral:rRNA from 1 species